GGAAUAAGGGAAGGAGAAACAAAGAAGGAAAGUCCUUCAUUAAUACUUCUUCUAUAAUAAAGCCCUUAAAAACUUGUUCUUUUUUUAAACUAUUUGUUUUAAAACAGAUUUGCAUUGGCUAAAUAACAUGAUACUUUAAUCAUAAAGGUAACAUGAUCAAGCUUAGAGGCAAAAUAUGACUUUGAAUUAUCGUCACCCAUGUUGGUGUGGAUAUAUAAUGGAAUGACAAUAAGGAAACACACACACACACACACACACAUACACACACACACACAGAGAGAGAGAGAGAGAGAGAGAAAGAGAUAAGCUCCAAGCAUUAAUGUGAGUUGCUGAAAGCAAGAACACUUAAAUGUAACAAUAUAAAGAAGAAAAGGUGGCUCACAGUUUAUUUAGGUCCUUCUGCCAUAAAUACAUUUAAUAAAUUGUUGUUUCUAUGGCCUUUGCUGGCUCACUGAGUCUCUCCCAUAUGUAGCUAUAACUUGUAACAGUAAUCAGGAAAUUGCAUUAUUAGCACAAAUAUCAACCACUGAGCUUCAAAGAAGAUGAAUACUCUUCGUAGCCAAAUUGUAUUUUCAGAAUGUUGUACUUAACAUUGACCUUUAGGGGUAAGGAACAUUUAACAAUGUAAAAAAAACAACAAACCUAUUAUUAUUGAACAAGAAUAUGGUAGCAUAGCACAGCCCUUGUAUAAAUAACCACAAAAUUUAUGAGAAUAAAAAUCGGGUUUUCUGUCUCCAUCCGAUCAAACCACUACAGUUCAGGUAUAUAUUCUGUUCUAAACUUAGAUAUUAUAAAACAGAAAAUUGGUCCCAGUGACUUGGCAUUGCCAAUUAGCAUUUGAUAACAAUAAACCUCUUGCUAAACCACAGAAGUCAGCACACAAGCCAGUCGCCACUUCAUCCACAGUGCAGUAUUAACAAUCAUCCUAAUUAGAACUUGAACAGAUAGAUUUCUUUAGUCUCCUAUGUAAUCUCUUAGAAAAAAGUUCAGAAAAUUCAAAAAUAACUUACAGAUUUGUAUUUAUACUACUUUUUAUACCUGCUGGGUUUGCUUUGUCUGAAAUUUCAACCAACCCUACUUUAGGGUUAGAAUUUUACAUUUUCAAACUGAAGCACUGGAUUGUGUGGCUGAUCCUCCUCAUAACCUGAACUAUACUGGGUAAUUUUUCCCAAUAGGGGCUGGGGGAGAAGAGAUACACUGAGGAAAAUACUUUUGGUUCAGAGAAUUUAUAAAGUAGCUCUGGAUAUUACAAGAUGGGAAAAAUGUUAUUAAAAUUACAAACAUGGGUUUUCUUAGUGUCUUUAUAAAUAAAAGGCAUAGAAUACAGAAAGCCAAUUAAUAAUAACAAUAACAACAAUAAUAAAAUAUUAAAUAUAUAGUGAGCAAAGACUGAAUGGCUCAUUCUUGUGAAACACCAUUUGACGCCAUUGCCUCAAUGGGUUUCCUGACUCUAACACUUGGCUGAGUGAAAGCUCCAGCAAACACACAGUAA
rnacentral:lncRNA from 1 species